rnacentral:lncRNA from 1 species
GUAAACGUCUUAGAUACUCUAUCAAUAUUCAAGAAUCGGCUAAUAUGUGAAAUCAUCCCGUUUUGCUUCAUCUGUUUGGCUAUGAAAUAAAAAUCAUAUUUGUAUAAUGAAUUUGUUAUGUUCCAAUAUUGUGAUGAAAAAUGUUGGGGAAAAGAUAACCACAUCAAUCGGCAAAAAAAAAAAACAAAAGUCAAAACUAGGACCAUAAAUUUUUUUUGCAAUGAUAUCAUCUGACAAAGAAAUAAAUAGAGGAAAUCAAGAUAAAUUUAUAUUAGUCAAUUUCUUAAAUAUUGGUAGGAUAUUUGCGAUGGUUG